UCAAGGCCCAGCACAACCCACACGUUCCGGCAGUCGGAUACGCCUCGAAAAAGUUCAUUGACACAAAUGGAAUUUGCUGCUCACACAUGGACAGGUCAAAGUAUUUUGACAGAGGACAACUUUGACUUUCAAGAAGAGAUUCCAAGUGACAUCUUGAAACCACCUCACCAGAACCAUUGGAGCACUCGUGGCCUCAGCACACUGCUUAUCACUUGAAAAAUGGAGGAACAAGUGUUAUAUUUAUCUGUGUGUCUGACAGUGUGAGAUGUUAGACCGAGAGAAAAGCAAACAAAUAAAUCACUUAAUCUUGAACACUUUGCACUGUAAAGAGAGUGAAAGUCAAACCCACCAAGCUGCCUUGCUGAAAGCAUCUCCAAGGUUCUGUAGGCUUUGUUCAGAAGACCCUGAUGUGUGUUUGCAGUCCGU
rnacentral:lncRNA from 1 species